ACGAACGCUGGCGGCGUGCUUAACACCUGCAAGUCGCACGGAAAGGCCCUGCUUGCAGGGUACUCGAGUGGCGAACGGGUGAGUAACACGUGGGUGAUCUGCCCUGCACUUCGGGAUAAGCCUGGGAAACUGGGUCUAAUACCGGAUAGGAGCCAUUUUUAGUGUGAUGGUUGGAAAGUUUUUUCGGUGUAGGAUGAGCUCGCGGCCUAUCAGCUUGUUGGUGGGGUAAUGGCCUACCAAGGCGGCGACGGGUAGCCGGCCUGAGAGGGUGGACGGCCACAUUGGGACUGAGAUACGGCCCAGACUCCUACGGGAGGCAGCAGUGGGGAAUAUUGCACAAUGGGCGCAAGCCUGAUGCAGCGACGCCGCGUGGGGGAGGACGGCCUUCGGGUUGUAAACUCCUUUCGCUAGGGACGAAGCUUUUUGUGACGGUACCUAGAUAAGAAGCACCGGCUAACUACGUG
rnacentral:rRNA from 1 species